rnacentral:lncRNA from 10 species
AGCAUUUUUCGGCCUCUUUAUUUAGAACCCGGCGGACGAGGGGCCGGGGCAGUGGUACAGACGGCUCAGGAACCAUUUUAACAGACUUGUCUUCAAGUUUCAGAUAAACACAGUCAUAAUAAGAGAGACAGCGAAAGCGCGAAGAGACUGCAAGCUAGAUGGGCAUGUAUGGCAGCUACAGCUUGUGAGUGACCCCCUUCCCCAGAGUCCGCGAUGAAAAUAAAGUUACACUUGUCAAUAACCAGAUGUGGGAGAUGGAGAGUGCCUUUGGCAUAACCAAUAACCGAGCUAGUGCGUGGCAGAGCGGUCCACGCCUGGACAUAAAUAGAAAAUAUAAGUUAGUAUAACUUUAAAAACUUUUUGUACAAAUAUACAUGGUUUUUUUAUUUUUUCCUUUUUUUUUUCUUUUUUCUUUUUUUUGCACUGAGUUUCAGCAGAGAUUAAACAUUUUAUAUAAAUGACUCUUAAAGCUUUACACCUUGGGACCAGUGUACCUUCUCGUGCAGAAUACAUUUAGAUAUAAAAAGACGUUAUUAAUACAUUGCACAGUUUUCAAAAUUUAAAAACAAAACCGAACGCUGCUCUGCGGCAGCCGCCGCCGGUUGCUGCUACAUGAACGGUCCCAGCCGAGGCCCAGCGCCCUUCCAACGUCCGCUGCCCCGGCAGGUUCCCUCGGGGCUCUUUGGGCUCUAAACUGCGAGGAGAGGGGCGGUCAGCAAAGCCGGCGGGGACCCGGCGGGUCGGCCCUCCGCGCCCCCCCAGGUGCGCUGUACUCACUUGGCUCACCGCAGCCUCUUGCGCGGGGUCUGCUCCACCGAGCCCACGCCAGGGGCGGCGCUUGGAGAGGGACACGGCGCGGGGACAUCGCCCGACGACUUCUCAGGCGCUGAUCUCUUGCGCUUGGCGAAGAAAUCUGCGGGCGACAGCGCGCGCGGCCGGUCAGGGCGGGGCCGGCCCGGAGACCCGAGAGGGGGCCGGGAGAGGGCGCGGGGCGCGGGCCGGCCGGGGUGGGGGCGCCGUCCCCGCCCGCGCCGAGGUCCGCGGCGGGUCAGCUUUGUUUACGUCGCCGCGCAAUGUGCUGUCUGAGAGAGCAGUAGAGGAAAGGCACUACAUCCACCAGCCUUUGCAUUCUCCUCGGAGCACACAGAAAGACAUUUUCCAGUUAUCUUGCACACAAGUGGGCGGCGGGACCCGUUUUGGCCGGGAACGUUGUCAGGAACGCUGUACACCACUUCCAGGCGGUCACGUCCGAGCUGCCCAGGCAGUCCUUCUGCGCCCUCUGCUGGCCA